ensembl:lncRNA
AUGAAUGUCUGCUGCCGUCAUUUCUCCUUAAUCACAAUUUCACUAACUUAUGUUUUGAGAACUGAAGUAACAAACAGAGCAGAGACAUCAGAAAGUUCAGACCAUCGUGUGAAUACUGAAAUGUUGAAGUUACAGCUGAAAGUGAGAGCAGAAAUAAACACAUUUGCUGAUUUCACCACAUCUCCACAAUGCAAAUCAAAUGAAAGUCAACUGGAAGAGAAGUUAUGUCAUCGGUUAUCUUCCAGGUCACCACGGUGGGGAGGUCGCUGUGUGACUAAGGCAGCACUUUGCGAUGCCUCGACCUGCUCAGUCGUCCUCCUGGAUCCACACACUUCACAUACUGUUUGUGUCAGAUAUUCUGUCAGUGGGAGAGAGAACCCGCCUCUAUGGCUCUUCCUGAGAUGAGCGAUAUAUUCGUCAACAGCUACGAGGGAGGAGCAUGAGAGUAUUGAGAUGCACCCACAGCUGCUCAUCCAGGUGCCUCCACCCACCUGCCCUCCUGCUGCGCACCAACCAUCCAUCCUCUAGCACGACUGACUUCCUCCUCGACUUAUUCACAAUCCCCCCCUUUCUCACUCUGUCAUUAACACACACACACGCAGACACACAAACACUGAUACAUCCCCUCGCUACCCAUCAGUCCAUCCGGUCCCAGAGGUGUCGGCCAUCAAUGUCUGUCGUAGGCGUUUCCCCAGCAACCGCAGCCUCCCCUUGUCAGACUUGAGAGAGUGCUUUUUUUCUUUUUUGCUAUUUGUUUGGUUUCUGGAGGAUUAAUGGUCACACGUUAUCGUGUGUGCAUGCAGACGGGGGUGAGAGGACACGUCGACGCAUGAAAACGUAACACAACAAAUUAAAUUCUCUGUGCAAUUAAGCUUCUAUAAAAGGAUGCAAACUCCUCGUGACAUCCGAGUGUCACGGGGAAACACGCUCCCCAGUUAAUUUGUCUGAUGGAAAAUACAGACUGAAUCCUCGCAUGCAUAUUUCUGAGGAUCAUUCGCAUUAUUUUACAUACCAAUAUUCCAUGUAGCGCCGCUAUACUGCAAGGGAUCUAUUUUGCAAUCAUGGAUAAUUCAUGAUCUGCACACAGACGCUGCGUAUGAAAAUCCUUUGAAGGCGGGUGUGGGACUGAGGGAAAUUCCCCUUUCUUCCACUUGCCUUCACUUUGUAAAGGCCGAGCUUCUUGUUUCAGCGCCUGUGAAUUCACACAGUGAGGUAAUGUUCCUCUGGACCAGGUAGUGUGACUCACCUGUGGUGAGGAGGGAAAUAUCAGCUCCCUGUAUUGGAUUUACAGCAUUCUGUUGUAGUUUCAUUACAGACAUGUAAUGACUUGUACAGUUUAAAUGAUCUCUGACGGACAGAAUUGUUGCCUGACGAACAAAGAAUUGCGUUUACACGCACAACACUGUCCUGAUAAUGAUCAGGAGUAUUGAUCUCAUGAAGUGCUCAGAUUCCUGACUACACUGGAAGAGGGAGCGUGUCAAAUUGUGUCGACAUGUACUGCUUGAUCACCUCGCAGUCUUAUUUUCAUGAAACAUCUGACCAGUUUUCAAAAAAGAUAAUUUACAGCGUGAUGUUCUGACAGAGCUGGAAGAACAUGAAGCUGGAGAAUCUGUGGGAUCAGCUGGUCGUGUUUCUGUUGUUAAUGUCUGUGGCGGCUGCUCAGAAUGUGUUUUCUAUUUGUGGUUUUGAUAUGUUUAUAGAAAUAUAAUAACCUCAUAGAAUUUUGUCCAAGUUGCUGUGUGUUAAUACAAGUGGAAGAUGAAAAGAG